GAUGAACGCUGGCGGCGUGCUUAACACAUGCAAGUCGAACGAGAACGGGAUAUAGCUUGCUAUAAUUGUCAGCUAAGUGGCGCACGGGUGAGUAAUGUAUAGGUAAUAUGCCUCUUACUAAGGGAUAGCAAAUGGAAACGUUUGCUAAUACCUUAUACUCCUUAUUAACAUAAGUUAAUAAGGGAAAGAUUUAUUGGUAAGAGAUUAGCCUGUAUUGUAUCAGUUAGUUGGUGGGGUAAUGGCUUACCAAGACUAUGACACAUAACUGGUUUGAGAGGAUGAUCAGUCACACUGGAACUGAGACACGGUCCAGACUCCUACGGGAGGCAGCAGUGGGGAAUAUCGCACAAUGGACGAAAGUCUGAUGCAGCAACGCCGCGUGGAGGAUGACACAUUUCGGUGCGUAAACUCCUUUUAUAUGAGAAGAUAAUGACGGUAUUAUAUGAAUAAGCACCGGCUAACUCCGUGCCAGCAGCCGCCGUAA
rnacentral:rRNA from 1 species